rnacentral:lncRNA from 1 species
ACCCCCCCAAACCCUAUCUUAUUCACCCAAGUAUUCUCUCAUCUCCUCCACUUCUCUCUUCGUCAAACCCUAACGUCGUCACCAUCGUCCUAUGAUUCCUACCCAAAAAUGGAAUCAUCUCUUGAUUCCUUACCAUAUCUGGCCUUACCUCCUUGCCAGCUACUCGUUUUUUAUGUUACUCAAACUGGUUCGCCUCAAAUGGCAAGUUGAUCUCAAGAGAUUCGAACCAGAUUUGGUUCAAAAUCUCUUAUAUGUUGAUUAUUUCCGUCUGUGUUCAUCCUAACCUCUGUAAGUAUGAAUAUUUUCGUAUCUUUCAGUCAGGGCUUCAGAUUUUGAUAUGGACAAGAUUUGGUCCGAUUUAUGUUUGUUUUAUGAUUAUUUACUAUCUAUAUUUGCUCUACUACUCACAAAUCCAUUUAUUUUAGUCGAAUCUUUUACUUACCCUAAAACUAGGGCUCAAGAUCUUUCCAGAUCAAAUAUAAUUUUUCUUCCUUUGUAUUUUUCCUUUAAUGUUUCAGUAUAUCUACCUUUGUGUUCAUAUUUUCUUUACUAUUUCUGGUCGAUUCUGUUUACCCUAAAAUUUAGGGUUUUUGAUUUCUUAAGGACGAACUAAAUCUAUGUAUUUCCAUCUCUAUUAUAGUUUCCCUUUUUGUUUUCUAUGUUGAUUUUACUUACCCUAUAUUCCGGGGUUUUGAUUCUUCGAACAAAAUAUGGUUCAAACUUUAAUUAUUUCCGUUUAUAUGUCUUCGUGUAUUUUAUUAAAGCUUUUGUGUUUCUGCUUUUUCUUUUGCUUACAUUAAGUUAGGGUUGUCAUUAUUUGGUAUUUUUUUUCUUUAAAUGUUUCUAUCUAUUUGCCUCUAUGCAUCUUUCACUCUUGCCGUUAAUUGUUGGCUAGUUUUAUUUACCCCAAAAUUAGGGCUUCUGAAAUCUUAGCCAAGAUUUUAAUCUUUCUCAUCUCGUAUGUACUGAUAUUUUCCUUUUUCUGUUCAUCCUACCUUGUUCCUUUAUUUCUUCACCUUGUUUGUUGAUUGAUAAUUGGUUCUAUAUGAUACUUACCUUAUUCGGAGUAGUACUUGCCUGAUUGCUCGUUAAUUGACUGAACUCUGUACUAUCUGCCCCUAAUUAAACUUCAAAUUGAUUUCGGAAUUAUUUCUUUACCUUAUUUAACAUAGUACACAACUAUUACAUAACUAAAACGGGAGAAAAUAAGAUAGAGGGAGAAGCACUGGGCUGCGAACGCCGGGCAGCUACCUAGUGAAUCUCCGGAAUCUGCUAGACAGCUCUCAACCCUCGCAAACAGGACCUGAUGCACCUGAAUCUGCACACGGAGUGCGGGGAGUAAAGUGAGUACUCCAACUCAGUGAAUAAUAAAAAUAAAUGCAGACUGAGUAAUAAGAAACCACGUAAAGACACAUCAACAGACUAUAAAGAAGCAGUAAAAGCUAGUAAAAAUAAUGCAACACUGAAAAAUAGAUAAAUUCGCUUUGGUUCAGUUAAAACUUCUUUGGAAUGCCUUUUUAACAGUUAAGCAAGUAAUGACAGGCAAUUAGGGAAGAUAAACACAUAAAGAACCGCCCCUCGGGCACAAUACCAACAGAAUCAGCCCCUCGGGCUAUAUCUCACAUCACAAUGGGUACACACGCUUACUAGGGUGUGUAGACUCCUAGAGGGGCCCGUUACGGCCCAAGCACAAUAUCAAGCCAUCUCGUGGCAUAAUCACAUAGGCUCUCUGCCUCAUAUCAACAAGCCACCUCGUGGUAUACAAAUCUUAAGUCAUCGGCCUCAUAAUCAUAAUCAGGUGUUUCGUCACAACAUAAGCCCUCGGCCUUACCCAGUCAGAAUCUCACAAGCCACUCGGGCAACAGUAAAACAUGAUACUCAUCCCAAAAUAUCAUUCAAAAUCAUUUUAAGUGUUAAAGUAGAGUAACUAUAGCUGAGUUAUGAAAGCAGUAAAAUAUAGCAUGACUGAGUUCAGGUAUAAAGUCAAAACAGUGAAGAAAUAUCAGUAAGAAUACCGUAAGAGUUCAAAUAGUUGGCACGAGGCCCAAAUAUGGCAUUCAGCCCAAAACAUGAUGAUAGCAAACAGUUUUCAGUCAAAUACGCAGUAAAACAGUCAUUCAGGAUGGAUUAAGUCACAAUCCCCAACUAUGCACGACCUCACGCUCGUUAUCUAGCGUGUGCGUCACCUCAAUAUAGCACAACGAUGUGUAGUUCGGGGUUUCAUACCCUCAGGACAACAUUUAAAAUCGUUACUUACCUCAAUUCGGUCCAAACUCUAGCCCGUGACGCCUUUGCCCCUCGAAUCGGCCUCCGGAUGCUCCAAAUCUAACCAAAAUCAGUGCAAAACCAUCAAAAUAUGCUAAGGGAACAAAGCCCACUCGAAAGAAAUCAAAUUACAAUGCAAAUCCCGAAAUUGGCCAAACCCGACCCCCGGGCCCACGUCUCGGAUUCUAAUAAAAUUUACAUCAAUAGAUUCCUUAUUACUCCCCGAGUUUAUUCAUACCAAAAACAUCAAAAUCUAACCAAAAACAACCCCUCAAAUCCCAAAUUUUAGGUCUCCAAUUACAAGCCCUAGUUCUUCAAUAUUAGGCUUAAUUUCCAUGAUUAAUUAGGUGGAAUUCACAUUAGAAUCGAAUAUUAAGUCCAUAAAUCUUACCUCCAAGUGUUUCCCCUUGAAUCCCUCUUCAAAAAGCUCCAAAAUCGCUCAAAAAUGGUGGAAGUUAACCCCAAAAUCGCGGACAAGAUGACUAUUUAAACAUUCUGCCCAUGCCUCCAAACCUUCUUCGUGAACGUGGUCAACGCCUCGCGUUCGCGAAGCACUAUCUAACUUUGACCAAAUUUUCCUCUUACGCGAAUGCGUCCAGUCCCUCGCGAACGUGAUGGUUCCUCAUCCUAACCUUCACAAACGCGCUCCCUCUCUCGCAAACGCGAUGAACAAAACACCCUGAACCCCAGCUACUCAACUUCCUCUACGCGACUGCGGCACAACCUCACGAACGUGAUGCACAACGACCCCAGCCCUUCGCGAACGCGGAGCCUCCCUCGCGAACGCGAAGGCUAAAUCCUUAGCCUCACCAUCUUACCCUUCGCGAACGCGAGGGCCUACUCGCGAACACGAAGGCCAUUUCUCUACAACACUGAACAGCAGUUUUCGGCAUUUUUCCAAUACAUGAAAUAGUCCGAUUGACCACCCGAAACUUAUCUGAGGCCCUCGAGACNNNNNNNNNNNNUNNNNNNNNNNAUAAAAAACCCAACCAAACCACGUCCGAGUGACCUGAAAUUUUGCACACACAUCCCAAAUGAUACAACAGAACUACUGCUACUCCUAGAAUUUCAUUCCGACCCCUAUGUCAACAUCUCACCUAUCAACCGAAAAAUGCCAAAUUUCCAAUUUCGCCAAUUCAAGCCUAAAUCUACUCUGGACCUCCAAAACACAUUCUGAUCACGCUCCUAAGUCCCAAAUCACUUCCCGAAGCUAUCUGAACCAUCGGAACUCACAACCGAGCCUUCUAACACAUAAGUCAACAUCUGGUUGACUUUUCCAACUUAAGCUUUCUCAAAAGAGUCUAAGUGUCUCAAACCUUCUCAAAACCUUUCCGAACCCGAGCCAACCAACCUGAUCACAUAUAGAACCGAUAAACAAAGCAAUAAGAAGCAGAAAUGGGGGAAACGAAGAAGUAACUCAUGGAAUGACCGGCCGGGUCGUUACAUCCUCCCCCUCUUAAACAAACAUUCGUCCUCGAAUGAGUCAAGAAACAUACAUGAAGCCUCAAAUAGGUGAGGAUAUCUGCUCCGCAUCUCCCGCUCGGUCUCCCAGGUAGUCUCCUCCACGGGCCGACCUCUCCACUGCACUUUCACUGAAGCUAUAUCCUUUGAUUUCAACUUUCGAACCUGAUGACCCAAAAUAGCUACUAGAUCCAUAUUAUAAGUCAAAUCAUUAUCUAACUGAACCGUGCUGAAAUCCAGAGCAUGAGACGGAUCCCCAAUAUACUUCUGGAGCAUAGAAACAUGAAAUGCUCGAUGCACACUCGACAAGCUGGGUGGCAAAGCAAGCUCAUAAGCCACAUACCCAAUCCUCUGAAGCACCUCAAAAGGCCCAAUGAACCGAGGACUCAAUUUACCCUUCUUCCCAAAUCUCAUAAAACCCUUCAUGGGCGAAACCUUCAACACAACCUCCUCACCAACCAUGUAGGACACAUCCCGAACCUUUCUGUUAGCAUAACUCUUUUGUCUCGACGGCGCUGUAUGAAGCCUCUCCUAAAUUACCUUCACCUUUUCUAAAGCAUCCUGCACCAAGUUUGACCCCAAUGGCCUAGCCUCAUCCGGCUCAAACCAACCAACUACAGAUCUACACUGCCUCCCAUACAAAGCCUCAUAUGGAGCCAUCUGAAUAAUCGAUUGGUAGCUGUUGUUAUAAGAAAACUCUGCAAGAGGUAGAAACUUAUCCCAUGACCCUCCGAAAUCAAUGACACAAACACGUAACAUGUCCUCCAAUAUCUGAAUAGCGCUCGGACUGCCCGUCCGUCUGAGGGUGAAAAGAUGUGGUCAAUUCAACCUACGUACCCAACUAUCACUGCACAGACCUCCAAAACUGUGAAGUAAAUUGAGUGCCGCUAUCUGAAAUGAUGGAAAUUAGGACACCAUGCAAACGAACAAUCUCCCGGAUAUAGAUCUCUGCCAACUACUCUGAAGUACAGGUAGUACACACAGGAAUGAAGUACGCAGACUUGGUCAGCCAAUCCACAAUCACCCAAAUAGCAUCGAACUUCUUCAAAGUCCGUGGAAGUCCAACUACAAAGUCCAUAGUGAUUCUCUCCCACUUCCACUCUGGAAUAUGCAUCUGCUGAAGCAAGCCACCCGGUCUCUGAUGGUCAUAUUUCACCUGCUGACAGUUGAAACACCAAGCCACAAAUCCCACAAUGUCUUUCUUCAUUCUUCUCCACCAAUAAUGAUGUCUCAGAUCCUGAUACAUCUUCACGGCACCCGGAUGAAUGGAUUACCGCGAGCUAUAGGCCUCCUCUAGAAUCAACUUCCGAAGCCCAUCCACAUUGGGCACAUAUAUCCGGCCAUGCAUCCUCAACACCCCAUCAACAUCAAUGGUCACAUCUCUGGCAUCAUCGUGCUGAACUCUGUCCUUAAGGACAAGCAAUGAGGAUCAUCAUACGCGCUCUCUGAUGCGAUCAUAUAAGGAAGACCGAGAAAUCACACAAGCCAGUAUCCGACCGGGCUCCGAAACAUCUAACCUCUAUCCUUUGGAGCUUUUUGAAGGAGAUUGAAGAGGGAUUCAAGGGGAAUCACUUGGAGGUAAGAUUCUUGGAUUAAAACUCGAUUAUUAUGUGAAUUCCACCUAGAAAAUCAUGGAAAUUAAGCCAAAAAAAAUUAAAGAACUAGGGCUUGGAAAUUUAGACCUUUAAUUGAGGAUUUGAAGGACCAUUUGUGGUCGGAUUUGAGAACUUUUGAUAUGUAUGAACUCGUGAGGAGAUAAGGAAUCUAUUGAUUCAAAAAUUAUUGAAUUUCAAGAUGUGGUCCCGGGGGUCGAGUUUUGGUAAUUUCGGGAUUCUUGGUAUUAUGUGAUUGUUUUUGCUUGGGCUUCGUUCCCUUAGCAUAUUUUGACAUCGUGAUUCUGAUUUUGGAUAGAUUCGACAUGAGUGGAGGUCGAUUCGAAGGGUAAAGGCAUCGCGGAGUAGUAUUUUCACCGGUUUGAGGUAAGUAACCAUUGUAAAUCUGGAACUGAGGGUACAAACCGCGGUAUUUGACUUGUUUUGAUAAAUGCAGUGACGCACAUGCUAGGUGACGAGCGUGUGGGCAUGCACGGGUAGGGAUUGUGACUUGGUCUGUCCUAUAGCGACUAUUAAGCUGCGUAUUUGAUUUUGGAAAUGUUGUAUUAUUUCGUAUUUUGGAUAUUUAUACUGUAUUAUGGGAUGUAUGUCAUGUUUGGGGCAUUGUGCCGACCUAUAGAAACCCUUAGGGGCAUUUUGACUAUUUUUUCUCACUUUACUUGCUAAAAACAUAUCCUCAGUCAUGUCUUACCUGUUUAAAUCUUUAAAACUGGUUUUAUCUUUCCACUUCUAAUUGUGAGGACCGUUUGGGCUGAGUUCCCUAAUUUCUAUUGUUGUGCCCAAGAGGCUAUGAAGAUAAUGACUGAGAGAGUUGAGAACCUAAUAGUGAGGAUAUAUGUAUAUAUUAUGGAUCGGGUUGCAUGCCGCAACAAUAUAUAUAUACUGGAUCAGGCUGUACACCGCAGCGAUAUGUAUAUUGGAUCGAGCAGCGCGCCAUAGCGAUAUGACACUUGGGCUAUAAGAUCCCCUUCGGAGUUUGUAAACCUCCAGUGAGUGUAGUCGACUAUAAAUUACGGAUCGGGCUGCACGCAACAGCGGUUACUAUGAUUAUUACUAUUAUGAGAUAUUAAUGAGCCUGAGUGCUGAGAGUGAGUACUGAGUGAUGAGAGUUGAGUCACGAGUGACCGAAAGGUUGCUUGAGAGGACAUAUUCUGAGUGAUACCUUUCCCGAGGGGCCCAUUUAUGAUAUUUUCACUGAUUUCACUCUUCUUUUGAAAUAAGCCUCUGUUGAAAAGUGGCUAAGUAAAAGAUUUAAGUAUUCCAAUUGAAAUUGAAGUUUUUAUGACGAAACUGGAUUUUAAACUGUGGAGUUUGAUCUGUUAUUCUGUUGUUUACUCCUUUAUAUGAUUUUAAACUGCUUGUCACUACUUUCAGACCUUAUUUACUUUAGUUGCUUACUAAGUUGGCAUACUCACGUUACUCCCUGCACCUUGUGUGCAGAUCCAGGUGCCCGAGUGGCAGAGUGAGGGUCCUCAGCUGAUUCAGAGGUUGCCGGAGAUUUCAAGGUAGCUGCAUGGCGUCCGCAGCCUUGUUAUCUCCUUCUUAUCUUUUUCUACUUCCGCAUUUUGCUAGACUUUUGUUGUAUCAGACAGUCAGUUAUGUAGUAGAGGCUCUAGACUUGUGACACCAGAUAUUUGGGGUUGUGUUGUCUUAUGUUUUAUUGGAUUCCGCAUUAUUUGAGCUGUUUUAAACACUUCUUAUGAAAACUGGUAUUUAGUCCUAUGUUGGAAAAAUGGUUUUAUAAAGGAAAUUCGAUGUGAU